rnacentral:lncRNA from 1 species
GCUCAAGGACAUGAGAUGCGGAUCAGGCCCAAGAGGCUGGAUGCCAAACCUAUCCUCUCCAUGUGAAGCACCAACUUGGGGGUGUCAACUAAAAAUAUGAGACCCGUAAACUUGGAAAGGAAGACUUUAUUUCUUGAGAAGGGUUGCAAACUGCAGGCUGGGAAGUGGCACCUCCAGCUGAGACCACAAACAGGUACUUUGAGGGAGAUAGGGUGGGAUAGGAGUUUUAUGCCAAACAGGUUGGCUAAACAGACAUAUUCAACAGGUCACAGGGGGAACUAUGAAUAUUCAUGAAAGGGGGUCAUAUGUGUGCUUGAUAAGCAAACAUAUGUGUUACAUACAUCCCAUGUUCACCUUCGAGUGGAGAAUUAACAUUAAAAUGCAGUAAAAUUAGGUUCUGUAUGUUAAAAGGUGAAACACAGGACAUGAAGACACUUUGUACACAGCCUCGGUGAACCAGCCAGAACCAGCCCAUGGUUGAAUACUUUGUAGCCUAGUCAGUUUGUCACUUCAAAACUGCAAAAAGGGCUGGGAGUCAGGCCGCAUCAGCAGGCAGUUGGUUGAAGUCAGCGGAGGGGUGUUCCAUUCUUUGUUUUUCCAGGGCUUGUUU